CAGAAGGGAAGCAGGGCAGAUGGUGAGCUCCUACUCCUAGACCACAUCUACCUUAGCAGAGGAGAGCAUUCUGUGCAGCCUUGGGGCGAGUGGGAGAGACACUCGGGAGUCAGCAGAGCUUGACCACAGAAGGGAGAGGAAACAGAAGAAUGGCCGAGAACAGGAGGCAGUCUGCAGAGCUCGCUACAGCCAGAGACUCUCCAGGGGCAGUAUUCAAGAGGCCUUGAAGGCAUCCCCACACCCAAACAAAACAGCAUCUUAAAGCAGACCAUCAUGUGGGAGUGGAGUGGAGAGUGCUGUUUAACAGUAUGAAGAUGUGUGCAGUCUUGGUGAAGAACACCAUCAUGAAACUGAGCAGGAAGGAUCACAGUAAUCAGAAGCAGAAGGGUCAGCAAGGCGGCGGCAUAAGCAAGUCCAUUAUACAUGCGCAAGCCACUCCUACUCAAUAUCUACCUGUGGACGUACCAUCUGAGCAUGGCGUGAACUCAAAGGCUGAAAAGUGCAGGAGAAAAGAGAAACAGCCCAGUAUGAGAUGAUGAAGAACAGACUAUGGAGGCCAUGGAGCACACACAGGGAUGACGCUGCAGAUGCUGCUGCAUAAACUCAAACUUUCUGACACUCUGUCUGCUGCAGAGAGUAAAACUGGUGUCCAAACCUGAGCAGCAGGCUGCCCUCUUUUCCGCUGUGUAAAAUCUGUGCUAUGACAAGGCUGCCACACUAUGGGGCCGAGUUUUAGCCCCUAUUCUACCCUGCCCCUCCUACCUCAACUCCGAUUAAUAGCAGAGUUCUUUAGAGUUCCCCAAUCAAUAUGCUAUGCUUAUUUCUUUAAUGUACUGCAGUACUAAAAACAGUUUUAGGAAUAAGGAAGUUAGACGAGCCCAGGGUUGGAUAAAUCUUCUUCAAUGAGAAACCCGAGGCUUCCCAAAGCCACAAAGGAUGCUGGGAAGGAUCACAUGCUCCCUGGAAGCUCUUUCACUUCUUGAAACCCUAGUGUGUACUUUUUUUUUCUCUAAAUCUCUCUCAAAACAGACAAUGCCUUUCUUCAAGUCUCAUUUGAAUAUUUUCAUUAACUUAAUACAAACCCCAGUCUUAUUACAUUCAUUACAGGGGAGAAAAUUAACAAGUUACAAUGUUUGAAACCAUGUGCUUUUGAACAUACUCCAAAAUAGCUUUUACAUUCUUGCCCAAUCGAAGCAUAUCUGUUAAAAUUCCAAUCACAGCAGCAUUUUAAAGGAUCUCAUAUCGUAGCACUGCACAGGGCUGGACCAUUAACCAAUGCGGUUGCUCAGGCUCUGAGCACUUGACCUCAGUCACAUAAGAACACUGACAACAAUCAACUGGCUCUCAGCCCAGAGAAGCUUUCAAAACCAGUUUGGAAGCACUUCAUAAUUUUAAACACUUUCCAAUGAGGGCCUUUUGUACUGACUCUUCUUACACACCAUCUCCCACAAAACAAACAAACAACAAACAAACAGAACCAAAGCCCGCGAGCACACUACAAGACUACAUCGUGUAAUAAACAAAGUCAACAGACUCCAUUAAUAAUGAUGCUUUCAAUUCUGGCUUACCUGGGAGCCAAUUAAUUCCUUGUUUAUCAAGGAGCCCAGGGUUGGAUAAAUCUUCUUUAAAGAGAAACCUGAGGCCUCCCAAAGCCACAAAGGAUGCGGGGGGGAAGGCCCAUAUCAGAGCCCAUGCUCCCUGGAAGCUCCUUCAGUUCUUGAAUCCCAACUGUGUAUUUUUUUUCCUCUAAACCAUUUAGAAAUUUGGACAAGAAAAUAAUAACCCACAUAGAAAAAAUGUAAUUUACACAUAAAUCUGUAAUAAUACAACAAUAAAGAUAUACACUGGAAAA